AUAUGUUCGGUUAUUUUCGGAUAUCCAUUCGGGUUCGGAUAUUACCCGUUCGGGUUCGGAUAUCCAAUCUCUCCUAAUUCAAUACCCGUUCGGAUAUUUUGCUACUUCGGUUCGGAUUUCGGUUCGGGUUUUUCGGAUCGGGUUCGGAUGCCACUUCGGAUUUCGGGUAAAAUGCCCACCCCUAGAAACUUGAAUACAAUUUGCAUGUUUGGCUCAAAAUGACAAUAAGUAUGAAAUCAUUAUGACAUAUGUGUACUUUAGACUAGACUUGGGACCAUUCUAAAGUAUAAUUUUAAUAACAACGGCUACAAAGCCUAGUAGUUCUAGCCCACAAUAUAUACGAUGGGCAAAACCUAAACCACAACACUAAGCAAGUUUAAUGACUAACGAAUUUAUAGCCAUCAUGCCAAAAACGCUUUGACAUGAAGCUUCUUUCUGGUUCUUCAAUCAAAAACGCUAUUUAACCAAUUAAAGAUUGCAAUAUUAAAUUUUGGUAUUUAAGGGUUCACAUUUGUGUUGAAAUGUGCAUAUCCGAUUUUUUUUUUUUCCAAAAUAGUGUUUAUGCACAAAAUCAAACAUCUAUACUAUUAAAAUAGAAGUCAUAAUUUUGUUCAUGUGUGAUUUUUCUUAUUUGGACCAUCUUUUAAUUUUUAAAAAAUUAUUAUAGCAAUGCUAAUCUUUGUUGGUAUAUGAAUAUUGCAUUAUUCAGUUACCAAUCGAGUAAAAUAAAAUAUGUAUCACUUACAAAUAGGGACUCCAUCUAACGGAUCCAACCCAUUAUUCAGUUACCAACCCAUAUAACAACUUUUUAUUUAUCCCCACAGAAAAAUAUAAAACUAAAAUUACAUCGUAUAUAAAUAUAUUAUAUUUUUAUAUCAAAAAAAAAAUUUAUAUCAUGUCAUUGUACUAAAAUCUAAUAAUUUACAUAUAUCAAUUUUUAUGUCAAAAAUACAUAUAUCUUCAAGAACAUAACCCAUGCGUACAGAGCAUCAUGCCAGAAAGUUAUUUUACUUUCGCAUACACAUAAUAUAUAUAAAGUGAUAAAAUUAAAAAGAUUUUUUUUUGUAAUCAAGAAUCUAUAAAAUUAUAAAAAUAAUUCAUAGAAAAUAAAAAGAUAAUAGAUUAACUAAUUUUCAUAGAAAUAUAAUUCAUAAAAUUUAGUUAAUUAUAAAAAUAUAAUAAAUAAUUUUUUUGUUCAUAAUUUAGUGUAUAUAAUUAGAUAAAUUUAUUAUAAAAACAUUUACAAUAAUAAGUUGGAUAUAUUAAAUCGAUAUAUUUUUAAGUUUUUAAUCAUUAUUUUUGGUAAAUGUUGCGAGUGAUAGAAUAAGUUUGACAUUAAACCAUAUUGUAGUCCAUAUAGUAGGAAAAAUGCAUUAUCUAAGAAACAUGUGUAUUUAAAAAUAUAGAUGUACUAAUAUAUAUAUAUAUAAUCAACUAAAUGGUAGGUUUUAUAAGCAAAUACUCUAAAAAAUAUUAUAUAUAUUGUCUAUAAUUAUUAAAUUAUAAGUUAUUUAACCGUCUAAAACUGAAAUAUAUAAAUAAUUAAAAUUAUAAAAUUGAUAUAUAAAAUUAUUUAAAAAACAGUCGUGUGGAUCAGACCCUAGUUUCAUUCUUAAUUUUCCUAAAAUAAUUAUAAUUGCUGCCUGUUUUCUGAACAUAUAACAAUGUCAUUAAAAAAAAGGAAACUAUUUCAAAUAUGGAGUAUUGAAUGUAAAAAAAAAAAACAUUUAAUACCACAAACACUCAGAACGACAUCGUAUCAUUGCGUCCAUCUUUGCUAAAAUUAAUACGAUAUUGCGAGCUGUUGAAUUUCCCCGGCAACUUCCCAAGGAGACAGAAGAAGAAAAGAGAUGAAGAAGACGGAAAGGAAUCAACUUUCGAUUCUACGCCACUCUCUUCCUCUGUUUCUCCUCAUCUCUCCCAGGAGUAGCUCCUCGUUAUUUCCACAAGGGUGAUCCUCUUUAUGUCAGAGUUAACAAGAAGUCUUCUACCAAGACCCAGCUUCCUUAUGACUACUACUACUCGAAUUACUGUAAGCCUCCUAAGUUCUUGAACAAUGCUGAGAAUUCAGUUUAUACUGUAAGUAAUACCCCCAUUCUUCCGGCUCUUGUUGUUGUUAGAUUGCUUUUUUCAUAAGCUAACGGGUCUUUAUCUUUUGUUGGAUACUAUCUUGCAUGAGUAUAAGGAGUGGGAUAAAAACAAUCCUUAGCUAACAGCAUGCAACAAGGCCACAGAGAAUUUAAUCCAAAGCAAUACUGGCCCUCAAGAAGUUGAGGAAGGAAAAGAAAUUGUGUUUAAAUAUGAUGUCUCAUUUAAGGAGAGUGAAAUCAAAUGAGCUUCUCGGUGGGACACAUGUCUUCUUCAUCAUGACAUCCAUAUGGCUGAACCAGUUCUACUACAUCUUCGGGUUCCUCUUCAUAGUGUUCUUGAUCUUGUUCGUCACCUGUGCACUGUGCUCUGCUACUUCCAGCUUUGCAGUGAGGACUACAACUGGUGGUGGAGAGCUUACUUAACCGCAGGCUCAUCUUCUUUCUACUCUAUCUUUUACUUCUUCACAAAGUUGGUCUCUGGAAUGCUCUACUUAGGGUACAUGAUCAUCAUCUCUUACGCUUUCUUCGUCCUGACUGGCACAAUUGGUUUCUUCUAGGCUUGCUUCUGGCUCGUUAGAAAGAUCUACUCUUCUGUGAAAAUUGAUUAGAAACCCAAGACAGAAGAAACACAACUGAUGAAUUCUGAAUGUGAUUAAUCUUCAAGACAAUGCUGUGAACUGAUAUAUUCUUCAAGAAUUAAAGAUGUUUCAUUAAAGAGAAAUAAAAACAUUACAUAAGUUUAGCAAUGAGAUAAUUGCAGAGAAUGUCUCAGGCUAAUACAACUACUACAACAACAACAAACACAACACGUUGGAAGCAAAACUCAGAGAAUAAUAUAAUCCCAGUUUUGCCCUCAAAGAAUCAUCAACACAUGGACACCUAUUCUCCAGUCUCAAUGUGCUUCUUCUUCUUUCUUUCUUGGGUUACAAUUACCACACAAGCUUAUUCACAUAUAAAUCACAACUCUGCAAAUAGUUUGAACGGUGUGUUGUGUCCCUUUUGUACAACUUCCACCGCUUGUAAAAUAGCCACAACAACAUACUAAUAC